AAUUUUUUUUCUGAUAAGGCCCCUACGAGCGUGUACACUUGCCUUAGGGCCUGUUUACAUAUCGAUUAGUGUUUAGUACGAGUUCAUACAUUUGCUACUAAACUUAAGUACUAUCUCGGACGAUCGAUGUUCGAAAUGACAUUGAUAUGUCACAGUUUUCAAUUGUUUGGUUGAGUUAAAUGUAAUGCCAGUGUUACAACAACACUAUAUGCAACAUUUAAUUACUUUUU